CAGAAGGUACAUGUCACUCACAUCCUGCAUGGCACUGUUCAGCUGUGGCUGCAGUCCUCCUCGACCUGAGACGAAGAGAAAGAGAGAGACUGUGAGAGGCAAUUAAGCAGUGUGUGGAUGAACAAUGCAUAAAAAGAAAAUUACACUACUCUUUAAAACUUGGGAAUAAAGAAAAUCACUUGAGUAGUUUGGAAUGAAAUGAGGUGGAAAAUCAAUGUCUGGCACGGACAUAAAAUCCUGUCUGUGCCGUCUGACUGGCAGGGAGCAAGGCAUGAAAGUAAUCACGCCAUGUACAGGUCGAUCACUCACUUGGUGAAAUGGCGUAGUUUGGCCUCGAUGCUGCGGUGUCGCAUGCACAUUCGGGUCAAAGCGGAACCGAUAUCCCUGGUGGCACCUGACAACAAGACAAAUGAAUGUUAAACAAAGAAAUAAAUAUGAAAUAAGAACA